rnacentral:rRNA from 1 species
AAGCCAGACUCCUACGGGAGGCAGCAGUGGGGGAUAUUGCACAAUGGGGGAAACCCUGAUGCAGCGACGCCGCGUGUAGGAAGGCGGUCCUCUGGAUUGUAAACUACUGUCCCCAGGGACGAAGAUGACGGUACCUGGGGAGGAAGCUCCGGCUAACUACGUGCCAGCAGCCGCGGUAAUACGUAGGGAGCGAGCGUUGUCCGGAAUUACUGGGUGUAAAGGGAGCGUAGGCGGGGAUGCAAGUUGGGUGUUAAAUCUACCGGCUCAACUGGUAGUCGCACUCAAAACUGCAGCUCUUGAGUGAAGUAGAGGCAGGCGGAAUUCCUAGUGUAGCGGUGAAAUGCGUAGAUAUUAGGAGGAACACCAGUGGCGAAGGCGGCCAACUGGGCUUUAACUGACGCUGAGGCUCGAAAGUGUGGGAAGCACACAGGAUUAGAUACCCGAGUA